rnacentral:rRNA from 1 species
AACGAACGCUGGCGGCAUGCCUAACACAUGCAAGUCGAACGAGACCUUCGGGUCUAGUGGCGCACGGGUGCGUAACGCGUGGGAACCUGCCCUUAGGUUCGGAAUAACUCCCCGAAAGGGGUGCUAAUACCGGAUAAUGUCUUCGGACCAAAGAUUUAUCGCCUUUGGAUGGGCCCGCGUUGGAUUAGCUAGUUGGUAGGGUAAAAGCCUACCAAGGCGACGAUCCAUAGCUGGUCUGAGAGGAUGAUCAGCCACACUGGGACUGAGACACGGCCCAGACCCCUACGGGAGGCAGCAGGGGGGAAUAUUGGAAAAGGGGCGAAAGCCUGACCCAGCAAUGCCGGGGGAGUGAUGAAGGCCUUAGGGUUGUAAAGCUCUUUUACCCGGGAUGAUAAUGACAGUACCGGGAAAAUAAGCCCCGGCUAACUCCUU